AAAAUGAAAAAAAAUUAAAAAUGUUUUUCUCCUGUUGGCUAGCCCUCACAUGCCAAAAGCAUUAUCUAGGCUGUCGGGGAAAGGUUUUAUCAGCAGUGUUAGUCCGCUGUGGGUCCUGCAAGUGAGAAUACCAAUCCAACAGGAUUGAAUUCAUAUCUGAUACUGUAAACCCAGUUUUGGCCAGGAAAAUCUUAGCCCCUAGUCGGGGGAAGCUACUCUUGUUGCUUUGCCAAAUGGACAUGAUGUACCUGUUAACCUGCCUUCUAAAUCACUCCAAGUAACUGUGUUUAUGCCAUAGAUUGGUAACCAGUUUUGGUCAAGAAGCUUCUUUUCGUUCUGAUCAGUGGUGGAUGCAGAGUCAGGUAACUGGCCGAAGUACCGAGAAUGAAGUGACUGCUGAUUUCUCAACCUUCAACAGGUCACCUAUAGCACUCCUCCUGGGAAACUGAGGGGGCAUCUCAGAAGAGAAGGCAGAAACAAUACAAGAGCCAGAGCAAUGGGAAGAGGAAGAGUUUGGAAUGCUGACUUCUAGAUAUGAUAUAGCUAUUGUACUUUUGAACUUACUGCAUCUGUGUUUACCUACACCAUAUCUCCUCAAGUUAUGGUCUGUCAAAAUCCUGCCAUGGGAGGGGAAGGAGUCAAGGGGCCCCACCCUUCCCUGAGCAGUUAGUAUUUGAUGGGAGGAGAGACUUGUUUAGCGGUCUAGCAAAUGAUAAGAUUCCUAAGAUCCUGUAAUAAAAUCCUCAUUCAAAAAGCA